UCCAUAGGUGCGUUCCUAACUGCGUCUGUCCUGUCCUGCGCAGGCUCUCUGGACACAUCCCUGUAAAGCAGAUAAGGAAGAAUGGCAGUUCCCUAGAAGAGGGGGCUUGUCCGGAUGCAGCAGGGCUCUCGGCAGGAAGGUGGCUUCUCCGUCGUGCUGGGGCAGAUCUCAGAGCAGAUGCUGUGCCCAGGCAAAGUCCAGGAGGAUGCGUGUGUGUUUCAUCACUUUCUUAGCUGGAGGAAGUUUGCUGUUGAGUUGGCUCCCAAAAGCAUCUGCGUGCGUCGCUGAAGCGGUGCCUGGGACAGCGAUGUCGGCCAGUUACCGUCGCUCGGAAUAGCAGCUGGGCUGAGCAGUCUGUUUGCGUUGCGCUCGCGGCUUGUCGCGCUCUUCCCUUCCUACCCUGGGCCUGCCAACAAACCUCUCCCCCGACUGCAAGUCGGAAAGAAAGCUGUGACUUGCAGCGGCCGCGGGGGGAUUAGCAUCCAACAUUAAGGGCUUAGCUCCCUGCUCAUCCCUGCCAGCCGGGGGUUUCAAGUAACACCACCAUGCCUUUUUCUUCCGCCCGUGACAGUUCGUAGCCCGAUUUAAUGAUGUCCCUUUACACACCACUCUCUGGGCUGCAUUCGCUAAGCUGAAGCUUGCUGCUGGUACUUUAUUUUCAGAGUCUGGCCUGUUGGCUGAGGCUCCUGGGGACGCUGGUCACGUUUAUCAGGGCGGGGGCGGAGCGGAGGAAGGAGGAAGAAUUUCUAGGUUGGGCUUAUGAACCAAGGUUUUCAAAAUUCUCAGCGUGUUAAAAAAAAAAUAAUAAUCUGGCCCUUCGUCUCUAGGUUACGUUUGCCUCUGCUGUGGCUGAGCUCAUGGAAAAUCGCAGCUUAGCUCCUGUGCUCAGUGCCAAGAUUAGUAGGUUUAGAAACUAACCGAUAACAUCUUUGUAAACUUGGAGUCAUUUCUUUUAAAAGCCUGUUGAUCCUUCCAGCCUGGAUUUUGGAGCUUUCCUAGAGACCCAAGUGAACCAGGCGGGACGACGGUAUCUGCCCCUGAAAGAUCACCGUGUCCCUCAGGAGCGUUGCCUUCAAAUACCCCGAGGGAGGAAGGAGGCCGCUGUUCCCCGAAGCCCCAAAGGGCGUGUGUUGGAAUCCUCCUCCGUGUUCCCAACCCGAUACACAGCACACAAUGACGCUCGGUGCGUAACUUACAAUAAUCACUGGUUUUAUUUUUAAAAAAUUACAAUAGAAAAGUACCUUUAAACAUAUUUCCAAAAGCGGAGUAGACAAUGUGGAAGCUUCUCUCCUCUCCACAAGACAAAGUACAGGAAAUGGUUUGCUAAAAGAGUUAGUCCGUCGCUUGGAAACGCUGGUAUCGUUCCUUUUAGAGCUGCUCAGAGGUUUGUCUUGGAAUUGAUUUCUUCUCACGUUGUCUUUAUCAAUCCCACUUUUUACAGAAGACCCCAACGGGACGGUUUCCCAUCGCACCAUCUCCCCUCCCGCCCCACCCCGGCUCCGGCAGCCGAAA